rnacentral:rRNA from 1 species
UACGGAGGGUGCAAGCGUUAUCCGGAUUCACUGGGUUUAAAGGGUGCGUAGGCGGGUUGGUAAGUCCGUGGUGAAAUCCCCAAGCUUAACUUGGGAACUGCCGUGGAUACUAUCAAUCUUGAAUAUCGUGGAGGUAAGCGGAAUAUGUCAUGUAGCGGUGAAAUGCUUAGAUAUGACAUAGAACACCAAUUGCGUAGGCAGCUUACUACACAUAUAUUGACACUGAUGCACGAAAGCGUGGGGAUCAAACAGG